GGACACGUGAAAUCCUGUCUGAACAUGGGGGGACCAUCCUCCAAGCCUAAGUACUCCUACAUGACCGAUAGUGAACCAGUACCGUGAGGGAAAGGUGAAAAGAACCCUGAACAAGGGAGUGAAAUAGAACCUGAAACCGUACGCUUACAAGCGGAGGGAGCCUACGGGUGACCUCGUGCCUUUUGCAUAAUGAUCCUACGAGUUACUCCUCACUAGCGAGGUUAAGCAUUUAAGAUGCGUAGCCGAAGCGAAAGCGAGUCUGAAUAGGGCGAACUAGUUAGUGGGGGUAGACGCGAAACUUGGUGAUCUACCCAUGAGCAGGUUGAAGUUGCAGUAACAUGUAAUGGAGGACCGAACCAGUAAACGUUGAAAAGUUUUUGGAUGACUUGUGGGUAGGGGUGAAAGGCCAAUCAAACUGAGAGAUAGCUCGUACUCCCCGAAAUGCUUUUAGGAGCAGCGUGUGGGUGAGUUUACUAGAGGUAGAGCUACCGAUUGGACUAGGGGGAGUCACAUCCUACCAAAUCCAGACGAACUCCGAAUGCUAGUAAAUAUACCACGCAGUGAGGGUUGGGGUGCUAAGGUCCCAAUCCGAGAGGGAAAGAACCCAGACCUACAGCUAAGGUCCCAAAAUCUACGCUAAGUUGAACUAAGGAGGUCCAGUUGCUUAGACAGCCAGGAUGUUGGCUUGGAAGCAGCCAUU
rnacentral:rRNA from 1 species